rnacentral:rRNA from 1 species
AUUGAACGCUGGCGGCAGGCCUAACACAUGCAAGUCGAACGAGUGGCGGACGGGUGAGUAAUGUCUGGGCAACUGCCUGAUGGAGGGGGAUAACUACUGGAAACGGUAGCUAAUACCGCAUACCAUCGGAUGUGCCCAGAUGGGAUUAGCUAGUAGGUGGGGUAACGGCUCACCUAGGCGACGAUCCAUAGCUGGUCUGAGAGGAUGACCAGCCACACUGGAACUGAGACACGGUCCAGACUCCUACGGGAGGCAGCAGUGGGGAAUAUUGCACAAUGGACGCAAGCCUGAUGCAGCAAUGCCGCGUGAAUGAAGAAGGCUUUCGGGUUGUAAAGUACUGUCAGCGGGGAGGCGUUACCUGCACAAGAAGCACCGGCUAACUCCGUGCCAGCAGCCGCGGUAAUAC